UCAGAGACGAGAAGACUAUUGAUUCAUAGGCCGAUACUUAACUGUCUUCACGACUUCGUCUUCUUCACUUCAUCAGUUUCCCGCCAAGUCAGCGUUUGUAACUGAGAGUAAUCGCAACACACUUCAGCCAACGAGUGUGCAAUCGCUACAGUUGUGGACAGAGUUCUUUGAGCAUCGAGUUCGCAUUAAAUAAUUGAUUUGGGAUUCUUCGAGGGAUUAAGAGGAAAUAGCUCGACAUAACGCAAUGGACUUUGAAGAAUACAGGCUCAGAGGUAA